GACUUUAAAGAGACUGCCGGUGUUAAACCGGAGGAAGGUGGGGAUGACGUCAAGUCCUCAUGGCCUUUAUGCUUAGGGCUACACACGUGCUACAAUGGGUGGUACAAAGAGAAGCCAACUCGCGAGAGCGCGCCAAUCUCAAAAAGCCAUCCUCAGUUCGGAUUGGAGUCUGCAACUCGACUCCAUGAAGUUGGAAUCGCUAGUAAUCGCGGAUCAGCAUGCCGCGGUGAAUACGUUCCCGGGCCUU
rnacentral:rRNA from 1 species